GGCUCCACUAUCUGGUUGCCUGGUAGACCAAGUUGCACUAACGCUUCCAGGUUGUCCUCUAGGCCAGGUACUACUUCCCUCUGCAGGUUUUUUACUAGGCCAAGAUCCGCUACUGCCUCCAGGCUGUUUUCCGGGCCAGGUACCACUAGGUCUAGGGUGUCCGCCAGACGUAGUCCUACUUUCGUCUCCAGGUUUUUCACUAGGCCAACUUUCGGCUCCACUACCUGGUUGCUUGGUAGGCCAAGUUGCACUAACGCUUCCAGGUUGUCCUCUAGGCCAGGUACUACUUCCAUCUCCAGGUUUUUUGCUAGGCCAAGGUCCGCUACUGUCUUCAGGCUGUUUCCCAGGCCAGGUAUCACUUAGAGUUCCAUACACGCCAGGCGUAGCACCACUUCCAGGUUGUUCGCCAGGCCAUGCUUUACUUCCGCUUCCAGGUUGUUUGCCAGACCAAGCACCAGCUUCAGCAUAAGAAUGUGUGCCAUGAGGAGCAAUUUCAUA